AUGCCCACAGAGAAUAGCCACCUCCAGACUGUGGCUGUAAGUGCAUCCCCAGGGACAGAUUUGUUCCAUACGCCACAUGAAAGGCACAAUUUCACGAACGCCACAACUGCUGAAGAUGCAAUUGCUACUUCAUCAACUGGAGUCUUUGUUUGGAAAGAGGGCUCCGAUUUACCUAUGCCAGCUGAGGCCACUGAAGCAAAUCUCACAUUGAUCUCUAAUUAUGAAGCUGGAUUUGAAUCGAUGAAGAAUGGCACCGUGAUGCCUGUGGUUCAUUUGUCCAAAGGCGUGGAGGAAGAGAAAGAGAAAGCCUCAGAAUUGCCGCUUCACUCUCUACUUGUUAACAGGAAUCAAAGAAUCGCUGAGUCUAUCACUCUUAUGUCCACACGACGGAGGCUGGGAGUACCUAUGGUGACUGCCACUCGUCCUCACAUAAUUGAUAACUGGGCCAAGUCAAAUGACAAUGAGGAAAAACGAGGCCAAGACGCAGAUGAAAAUGGGAUUUUGGAAUUGAGUGAGUCAGAAUCCAUCUUGCAUGACAGAAAGGAAGUUUCUUUGACUACGGAGCGCGUGAUGACAAACAUGUGUUUGAAUUGCCUGCAAGAAAAAAGGCCAUCGUCAACAGAAGAAAUGGCUGUUCUGUCUGCGUUGUUCGACCGAGGCAGCUCACUCAGUCUUGGAGGAAAUGGAAAUAUGCUUACUGUAAACUCCAGUCACCACAAGGCCUCAAUGCCGAGCUCAUUUGAAGCGACAACAAAGAAACAAGAGGACAGAACAGUAUUAUUUGAUGGUGCCAAAACAUCCAAAAAGAGCACAUUUGAUUUCUCUGUAAAUCUUUUGGAUGGGCUAGAUUAUGAGUUCAUACCACCCCUUUCCUCAUUAAACUCUGAAAUGAAUCUCAGUAAAACCAUGUUGAAUGAUUCAUUUGCUAGUACAUCUUUCUCAAACUCGGGAACGAUUGAAGUCAAGGCAAACACAACCAGAACAGUGUUUCUUACUUCAAAGGUGGAAAAUAUGACAGUUUCCAGAUUGAGUGAUAUUAGCAAAUCUUUUGAUAAAAGGUUGUUAUCAACAACCAGCAUGCCUUAUCCUUUAACUUCAGAGAUCUUUCACACUUUAUUAUUAUCAUUGAGAGAUAAAGAAGAAAAUAUAUCUGGGAAGACUGUGAAUCUCAGAAACCAGUCAAAAUUGGUUUCUCAAAUCCAAGAUAAUUCAUCUGUAAAACUACAAAACAUAUCCUCCGGUUUACGACAUAGUUUUCUUGGCAAUCACACAUUGGCGGGUGUUGACAUUACAAAUAAGGACACAGAGUUUAGUUUAGAAGAUGGGGGAAGGGAAGAGCGGGAGCAUGCUGUUGGGCAAGUUAUGACAAUUCCUCUCACCAAUGCUCCAUCUCCUUCUGUCCAUGUUCUCUCUGACCAGAACAUUGAAAACAGUGGGGUUAAUGACCCCAUCAGUGGGGCUAAUGACCCCAACAAUGGAUCAAUGAUAAGUGGUAUGCUAGACUCGUUUAAUUCUCUCUUUAGUCAAGCUCGUGAAAUAAUCACAGCAAAAAGCCACACCACUGACCACAUUGACGUUUCAGCCUUGCCUAUGAGAAUGCCAUCAAUCGAAAGCCAAAGUGCAACAACAUCCUUCCGCUCUACGAGGCAGACCACGGCAGCUGUCAAAGUUCCUCCUGCCUCUCAGGCUCUGACAGGGAGUGCGAAAUCUUUGAUGUCUGUGUUGAGUACCACUGGCUACCUGCCAGCACAGCCCAGUGUUCUGUUCAAAGAGCAGCAGCCUAUGAGCCUCCUGCCAGACGUCCCUAACAUGCAACGUGCAUCUGUAACUAUGAUGAGAACAUUGUCCAAAAAGCCGUUUGCCGACAAUGCAAACGGUAUUGAUAAACGGACUGCGCCUCCAGUUGUUUUGUCACAGACAGUGAAGCCAAGUGCUAAAGUAAAUGCUCAGUUGCCCAGAACAACAGAGAAAGGACUUACGUUUUCCACAAAGCGUAUUUCUGAAACCACAAGUAAGUUAGACAUUUAUGUGUCCACCAUGAUGACGACAAGAACACACGUCGAUGUGAAAAGGUCAACCGAGCAAAGACUUGCCGUAGGUCGCGGUGACAUCAAGUCGAGUGGUGACACCUUUCGAAUCUCUGCCGACAGUGCUGGGAACCUUGAACCACCUAAAGAAUUGAAAAAUGUGAACAUACUAAAGCUGAAAAACAACAGAGGACAGGAGUCUGACUUCUCUCAGCCUCAAGGUUCUCUUGAGGAGGUGACAGAAAUGACAAUGGACAAGAGCAGUACUGUUCACCAUGGGAUAAUGAAAACCACAGAAAGGCUGGCUCGAGAGGAAAAACGCACCUCUCCAAACUUGUCUCCCUCCCAUCUUUUAAUGAAACUGUUGGGAGCAACGGCAAGAGACAUUCAUCGGGCUGAAAAUCUCUCUGAAUCGCUGGAAGACGAAAAUAAGUCAUUCUCUAGCCAAGCGCCAAGUCAUAAAAUGCCAGUGCAGACUGUGAUAACCCCAAGCCAGACACUAUCACGAAUGGUAUCUUUUAAUAAGAAACCACAUAUUGUGUCUAAACCACAGCAAUUCUCUACCCAUAGGGUCACGCUUACAAAAUAUGCCGAUGCGUCAACAAACCAUAAGCAAAGCAAUCAGCAAAGGCACUCAACAAAAGGUAAAAAACAAGUGUUUUUGACGACUUCCUCGCGGAGCACAGGCCCUCCAAAUCAAAUCAGAAAUGUGAAUGUAACAUUUGACGUCUCUCCAGAGAGUGUGAAAUCAACAUUUUCUACACCUGACAGUGUUGGAAAUCUGUUUUCACUUACCGCUGCAAAAUCAUUAAUCCCAGUUGGGCAGUCAACUAUUCAGCCUAAUAUUGCAGUAAAGACAUCUACUUCCCACACAUCAGUAAUUCAACAUGUUUCAGCUCAAAAGCAUCACAUAAGCAUUUCGACAUCAACAACAUCAGGAAACUCAGUCUCUCAGUCCAUAACUGUUGGAAAACAUCUACAGCGUGUAGGACCGGCGACACCUCUCUUUGACAUUGUUAAAGAGGACGUCAUGACCUCUGACAUCACUGAAGCAUUAAAGGGGAGCCACCUUGUUCCCCUCUUACCGCCUCGUCCGUAUAAUGACACAUCGACUAGUCCACCCACCGACAAUUACUCGCCCACAGGGCCACUUACCGCCAGCCUGGCUUUGCAUCAUCGCCAAGGGCAAUCUUCUUCUGAGAUAAUGCCUUUCGGCGCUCCAUCUCAAAGCCAAUGGGACUCGUUUACAGAUUCGGAGGAGAAAGAGGAACGGCAUUCAAAUGCCUCACAUGCUUCUGCCGAUAACGAGCAAAUAAGCCCUUCAGAGGCUCCAAUAGUGCAUGAAGUGAAAAGUGAGCAUUCUGGGUUUAGCACAUGGACGGCGCCGUUCGCUACCGAUAGUUCUGCCACCAGCCACAUUAACUUAACUCAAUCACGACCUGAUGAGACCAUGGGAUUGAGGGCCAAGGAACCCGCCCUGCCACGUGCACUACUGCACCAGACCACUAAUGGGGUUGGGAAUGACCAUGCUUUGUCUGGAGUAAGUCCAGCGCAUGAGUCUGGUAGAAAGCUCCUGGGUUCUGGGAGUGGGUCAGAUCCAUUGGCCUUGCACCAGAGAAUUGGGUUAUCAUCCCCUGAUCUCCUCACUGGGUAA
rnacentral:lncRNA from 1 species